rnacentral:rRNA from 1 species
UACGUAGGUGACCAGCGUUGUCCGGAUUUACUGGGCGUAAAGAGCUUGUAGGCGGUCUGUCGCGUCUGCUGUGAAAAUCCGGGGCUCAACCCCGGACUUGCAGUGGGUACGGGCAGACUAGAGUGUGGUAGGGGAGACUGGAAUUCCUGGUGUAGCGGUGAAAUGCGCAGAUAUCAGGAGGAACACCGGUGGCGAAGGCGGGUCUCUGGGCCGAAACUGACGCUGAGGAGCGAAAGCGUGGGGAGCAAACAGG